rnacentral:rRNA from 1 species
AUACGGAGGAUCCGAGCGUUAUCCGGAUUUAUUGGGUUUAAAGGGUGCGCAGGCGGCCAUUUAAGUCAGCGGUUAAAUCGUGGGGCUCAACCCCAUUCUGCCGUUGAUACUGGGUGGCUUGAUUGCGGUCGAGGUUGGCGGAAUUCGUUGUGUAGCGGUGAAAUGCAUAGAUAUGACGAACAACGCCGAUUGCGGAGGCAGCGGACCAGACCGAGAAUGACGCUCAUUCACUAAAGUGCGGGGAGCGAACAGGUUUAGAUACCCUUGUAGUGCGCACAGGAAACGAUGAAUACUGGUUUUCGGCGAUAGAAUGUCGGAGGCAAAGCGAAAGCGAUAAGUAUGCCACCUGGGGAGUACGCCGGCAACGGUGAAACUCAAAUGAAUUGACGGGG